AUGAGCGGUUUCCUCGCUGUGGCCGGCAAGAUUGUCACGUUCCUGCUGUGGGUGCUCUUCCUGAUCCUGCAGACAGCCACCAAGGUUGUUGGGGGCCUCCUGCAGGUUGCACCGCCAGUCGAGGCACGGGAAGAGCCGCAACCAGAAGCAGCACCACGACCCAGAUCGCCGCCGGCUGCGAGGAACAGCGCCGGCGGCGGCCCCGCGGACCCAUACGAUCCAUGGUCACAGCCGUGGGACCCACCACCGUCCCCCCACAUCGCUCCGUUGACGGAUGAAUAUCACUCGUCCUCAAUCUACCGGCGGCGGGUGAGCGCUCCGCAGGCCGCUGAGGAUUUGGUGGUUUCCUCCAGCAGUUACUCUCGUUCGGCCGUGGCAGCAGUGCCAGCCUCUCUGGCUCAUGCUGUCUCAGCGCCACCAGUGUCGCGGACAAUUAAGACACCGGCAGUUGCCAGUAAGCGGUCCAAGCUGGAGAGGAAGUACUCCAAGAUUGUGGACCAGUACCGCUCCUUGGAUGAGGUUAUUGAAGCAUUAGCGCAAGCUGGCCUCGAGUCUUCCAAUUUAAUCAUUGGAAUUGAUUUCACGAGAAGUAAUGAUGGACAGGAAAGAGGUCAUUCAAUGGUGUGA
rnacentral:rRNA from 1 species